AUCCAGCCAGUGGCGAGUCCCAAAUAGGACGAAAUGAGCAUCCUGGAU
rnacentral:hammerhead_ribozyme from 1 species